UGGGGAAUAUUGCACAAUGGGCGAAAGCCUGAUGCAGCGACGCCGCGUGAGGGAUGACGGCCUUCGGGUUGUAAACCUCUUUCAGCAGGGACGAAGCGCAAGUGACGGUACCUGCAGAAGAAGCACCGGCUAACUACGUGCCAGCAGCCGCGGUAAUACGUAGGGUGCAAGCGUUGUCCGGAAUUACUGGGCGUAAAGAGUUCGUAGGCGGUUUGUCGCGUCGUUUGUGAAAACCAGCAGCUCAACUGCUGGCUUGCAGGCGAUACGGGCAGACUUGAGUACGGCAGGGGAGACUGGAAUUGCUGGUGUAGCGGUGAAAUGCGCAGAUAUCAGGAGGAACACCGGUGGCGAAGGCGGGUCUCUGGGCAGUAACUGACGCUGAGGAACGAAAGCGUGGGUAGCGAACAGG
rnacentral:rRNA from 1 species